UCGCACCGCCCUCCCUCUGCUUGAAGCUGACAUUUCCCUGCUCCCUUAUCUCCCUCCCCCACACGGUGCUUGCCCCUGCUCCCUCCUUUCUGACUGUAAGGUUGCAAGCCUCGGUGCCAGCAAUUUCCUCGUUGGUCGAGCCCCUCCCUAUCACCAUCCUCGUCAUGGCGCCCUGGUGGUUGUCCUUGUCAGUCGUGCCUCUCCUGUGUGCUCGACUCGCCUGUGCCAUGUCUAACUCCUGUCUCCUCUCUAGCCCUGAUGUCGUCGCUGGUCCUCCCCACGCUAGAGAAGACCACCGUCGGUCCUCAUCCAUACAUCGAGUUCCCUCCUCUCAGUGCUCGAACUUCGCCUCCCUCUGAUCCCCCCCCCCCCCCCCCCCCCCACUCACCCCUUGCGCUCAUCGCUGCAGGAUCAUCAUCGUGGGCUUGGCUUUGCCAAGCCAUCAUCGCUCACCAUCUCGUUGAUGCCCUUUCUCUGUCUUCAUAUUCGUCAGCACCCUAGUCUUCUCUCUCUACACAACAAAUAGGUUACUGGACUCGCCAUGUUCUCUGGUCGAGUUUGACCCUCCUUGCUGACAGAUUUGUCGUCAUUCUGUAUGUCGUCGAGGAGCAACUCCUGGGAUGGUUGGGUGGAGAAGAAGAAAAGAAGCUCCAGCGCAUCGCACACCUGGUGCUCGACGUAAUGGUUGAAUCGAAAUCGUCGUCGUUUCCGUAGUCUGAUUUAGUUAUGGUACACUAGUUGAUCACGUGAUGUGGAGGACAAGAACCGAAUUGAUCUCAAAGUGAUGCUGGUCGAUGAACCUAACGAUGGAUGAUUCGAUCGAGUGCUAGGACGGGAGAUGGUCGUCAAGCGAGUAUCAUCUAACAACAUUAACAUAGUGUUUUAUCCUAGGCAAAUCUCGGUGCAUUCACCUCUUUCCUUGUUGUUUACCAAAAUUUUAUCAUCUUAUAUGAUGCAUUACGAUCGUGCUGAGGGCUAGAUGCACAGCAGUGGGCGACUCAUCGCGGACUCACUAUGACUAUCAUCAUUGACUUGUACAUCAUAAUGAUAUACUCGAUCCGUCCAAGACUGGACUAUCUAUUUUAAGUGUUAAAGUAGUCCAAGGAUAA